rnacentral:miRNA from 1 species
GUGUGUGUGUGUGUGUGUGUGUAUGUAUAUAUAUGUGUGUAUAUAUAUAUAUAUAUAUAUACACACACAUAUAUACACACACAUAUAUAUCUG